rnacentral:rRNA from 1 species
ACCGCCUGAACUGAAACAUCUAAGUAGGGCGAGGAAGAGACAUCAAACGAGAUUCCGUAAGUAGUGGCGAGCGAACGCGGAAGAGGGCAAACCGAGAGUAGAAAUACUUUCGGGGUACGGACCGCAUUUAGGACUUAAGUUGUUAACCGAACGGCAUGGGAAGGCCGGUCAGAGAGUGUGAGAACCACGUAGGUGAAAACGGAAAGAGCUGCGCAGAUUCCAGAGUACGGCCAGACACGUGAAACCUGGUCGGAAGAUGGGGGGACCACCCUCCAACCCUAAAUACUACCCAGUGACCGAUAGCGUAUAGUACUGUGAAGGAAAGGUGAAAAGCACCCCGGGAGGGGAGUGAAAAAGAACCUGAAACCCUGUGCCUACAAGCACCUAGAGCACGUCAAUGUGUGAUAGGGUACUUUUUGUAGAACGGUCCGGCGAGCGAUUGUAUGCAGCAAGGUUAAGGACUUAAGGUCUGGAGCCGAAGCGAAAGCGAGUUUGAAAAGGGCGUUAAGUUGCAUAUAAUGGGCCCGAAACCGGGUGACCUACCCAUGGUCAGGUUGAAGUGGAAGUAAAAUUCCAUGGAGGACCGAACCGACCUCCGUUGAAAAGGCGGCGGAUGAACUGUGGGUAGCGGAGAAAUUCCAAUCGAACCCGGAGAUAGCUGGUUCUCCCCGAAAUAGUUUUAGGACUAGCCUCAAGUUAGAUACCUGGAGGUAAAGCACUGAAUAGCCUAGCGGCCGAGAGGUUAGCGAAGCUUAUCAAACUCAGAAUGCCAGAGUAUUGAUGCUUGGGAGUCAGACAGUGUCAGAUAAAUGUCAUUGUCAAAAGGGAAACAGCCCAGAUCUACAGCUAAGGUCCCAAAGUCAGGUUAAGUGGAAAACGAUGUGAAGAUACGCAGACAACCAGGAUGUUGGCUCAGAAGCAGCCACUCAUUCAAAGAGUGCGUAAUAGCUCACUGGUCGAGCGUCUUUGCGCGGAGAAUUUAACGGGGCUAAACCUGACACCGAAGCUUAGGCAAUACAGCAAUGUAUUGGGUAGGGGAGCGUUGUAUACGCGGUGAAACAGUAGCGCAAGCGGCUGUGGAGUGUAUAGAAGUGAGAAUGCCGGAAUGAGUAGCGCGAAUGCAGUGAGAAUCUGCAUGGCCGAAAGCCUCAGGUUUCUGGAGGAAGGUUCGUCCGCUCCAGGUUAGUCGGGAGCUAAGGUGAGGCCUAACGGCGUAGCCGAUGCACAGACGGUAGAGAUUCCGUCACCACCAAAAGAGUUAAGCACAGGGACACAUUUGAAGUCUCGGAGCCGGGUGUUGGUUCCGGUAGCGAUCGAGGGAAAUUAGUACCGAAGUCCGGGAUGGAAGAUGGCGAGAAAAGCUGUGUGUAUUUCUGCGGUGCCCGUACCGCAAACCGACACAGGUAGGUAGGAAGAAGAUUCUAAGGCCAACGGGAGAAGGGUUGUUAAGGAACUCGGCAAAUUGACCCCGUAACUUCGGGAGAAGGGGUGCUCCAGAGAUGGAGCCGCAGAGAAUCGGCCCAAGCAACUGUUUACCAAAAACACAGGUUUGUGCUAAAUCGAAAGAUGACGUAUACGAGCUGACGCCUGCCCGGUGCUGGAAGGUUAAGAGGAGAUGUGCAAGCAUUGAAUCGAAGCCCCAGUGAACGGCGGCCGUAACUAUAACGGUCCUAAGGUAGCGAAAUUCCUUGUCAGGUAAGUUCUGACCCGCACGAAAGGCGUAAUGAUUUGGGCACUGUCUCAACAGCCCGCCCGGCGAAAUUGUAGUACCGGUGAAGAUGCCGGUUACCCGCGACAAGACGGAAAGACCCCAUGGAGCUUUACUGUAGCCUAAUAUUGGGUUUCGAUGUUGCAUGCACAGGAUAGAUGGGACACAGGGAAACAAGUGCUUUGGCAUUUGUGGAGUGGCCGUUGGGAUACCAUCCUUGCGAUAUUGGAAUUCUAACCUGCGCCUUUGAAUCAAGGCGGGGGACAUUGUUAGGUGGGCAGUUUGACUGGGGCGGUCGCCUCCUAAAGAGUAACGGAGGCGUUCAAAGGUUCGCUCAGCUUGAACGGAAAUCAAGCAAAAGAGUGCAAACGCAGAAGCGAGCCUAACUGCGAGACUGACGGGUCGAGCAGUAACGAAAGUUGGAGUUAGUGAUCCGGUGGUAUGUGAGUGGAAAUGCCAUCGCUCAACGGAUAAAAGUUACCCUGGGGAUAACAGGCUGAUCUCCCCCAAGAGUCCACAUCGACGGGGAGGUUUGGCACCUCGAUGUCGGCUCAUCGCAUCCUGGGGCUGUAUUCGGUCCCAAGGGUUUGGCUGUUCGCCAAUUAAAGCGGUACGCGAGCUGGGUUCAGAACGUCGUGAGACAGUUCGGUCCCUAUCUGUCGUGGGCGCAGGAUAUUUGAUGGGAGCUGUUCCUAGUACGAGAGGACCGGAGCGGACGUACCUCUGGCGCACCAGUUGUUCUGCCAAGAGCAUAGCUGGGCAACUAUGUACGGAUCGGAUAAACGCUGAAAGCAUCUAAGCGUGAAGCCGACCCAAAGAUAAGAUAUCCCAUUGU